GGUCGUGGGAGCUUUCACUGGGGGAAAGCCUGUCUCCUCUGCACCCCAACCCUGCUCGGGGACCCCCAGACGAGCUGAAGCCUGUGCCAGCGCCAUCCUUGGCCAUGGAACGUGCCCCUGGUUUGUGUGAGGGCUUGUCUGAGUUACUGCUUGAUUUCCCAGCCCGCUGAGGUUUCCAAGAAUUUUCCAACUAUUGAAUCAUCACAAGCUUUUGUGAAGAAGGGAUGGAGAAAUUGCCACGGACUGAAGGAAGCUGAGCCCUGCACUGGGACAGGGGAAGGAAGAAGGGGUGAAGAAGACAUCCCAUCAGCAGAAAAAAAGCCACUUAUUCUGCUGUAAAAGCCUGCAAACAACCCCGACCCAAGUGUGCUGAAACCUGCCUGCCAUAUAUGUACAGCGAAUGCAGAUGUUGAUGGGAGAACGCAGAAAAGAGGUAUAAAUCAGAGACGCAGGGACACAAAUGGAAAUUCUGCGAGAAACAGGAUAUUUCUCCAGAAUGCCAAGUCUCCUUCAGGCUGGGGAGCACCAGGCUGCUCUCCGCCGUACAUGAUUACCGCUAAUCACUGUUAGAAAAGUCGCAGCCAGAUCUAUGCCCACCAUCAGUGAUCUGUAAGGAGCAGCCGAACACAUCUAGAACGAGCGCAGGAUUUUUCCC